AUGUUUAAUCCUCAGCAGGAUGCUUGGCAUAUAAUGGCUUUCUCCAUGCCAUGGGGGUCAUGGCUCCUAUCAACCUUGAUCUCUUCUCAUCUAAGCAGCUCUUCCAUCAGCAAAGAAAGAAGGUUUCUUCCUUUUUGGCUCCAAUCUGAAAAAAAUUUCAAGCAUGAUUUGCAUGGGACCAACUUAAGUCACAUACUUCUCCUCAAACCAGUUACAACCAGGAAGAUGAGGUAAUAUGAUUGGUUGAAUUGAAUUUCUAAUGAAAUGAAAUUCCAGUUCAUUCGAAUUUGAUUCCUGUGGAAAGAGAUGCAUCAAGCAUGCCGAGAGAGUAACCUUUACCUUCUGUAAGAGGUAAUAGAAUAAUUAGUAUUUUAGUGGUAGAGUUGGUUCUACAAACUGGCAUAAAGUCAAAACACUGACUCUCUACUAAGUCACUAGAACCAAAAUGCUAGAAUCUCUGGAUGUCUGGCUAAGAUACCACAGGGCCUGAGUGGACAUGUCACGUGAACUUUGUAUCCAAGAAAGAAAGCCUAUCAUAUUUUCCUCUCUCAGGAUGUUGGCUCAUAGAGUAAAAACUUGAAUUUAUUUCUUAGUAUACAUACCUUUUAAUGAAGAAAGUUAUAAACACGUGAGUACUAUCUUAGAAAAAGCAGAGCCUCUAAAGAGGGUGGUUGAAGGUGACAUUUCUGUUGUUUUAAAAACUUUAGGAUGUCAUGUCCUGUGGGAAUGCAUUAUUCUAACAAUUUACUUAACAUUUUGCUUCCUAUAGAGUGGACUGGGCGUGGGACCUGAAAGCAGAUUUGUGAAUUGAAUUUAUAGUGGAUGAGCUUCUCCUAAUGCUUUUGCCAGGUCGUUUAAGACUGUUGGCUCUUGAUUCCAGUACUUUCAAUAUCCACUCACCACUGCAUUAGUGGGAGGACUAUUGUAUUAUAUAAGAGAUCUGGAGAGCUAGUGACUUAGUAGAGAGUCAGUGUUUUGACUUUAUGCCAACAUCAUCAUCAUUUCCAUACUUGUUUCACAUUUCUCUUAUCAGCUGGGCCCUUGAUUCAAGGUUACCUUGAUUAUUUUCAGGUCUUGAGUCAUGAAUCUCCCUUAUUUUUACCUCAAAAAUAUUUUCACCAACUCACCUUAUCUUCUUUCUUUUCAAAAUUAAAGGUGUCCUCCAAGGGGGUGAGGGGGGUGAGAUUAGGAGAUUGGGAUUGGCAUAUAUCACUAUGGAUGUGUAUAUGUAUGAAGUGUUAUAUUUUAUACUAUGUAUAAAAUGUUAGUCACUCAGUCAUGUCCAACUCUUUGCGACCCCAUGGACUGUAGCCCACCAGGCUCCUCUGUCCAUGGAAUUUCCCAGCAAGAAUGCUGGAGUAGAUGGCCAUUGCCUUCUCCAGGGGAAUCUUCCUGAGCCAGGGAUCGAACCCAGGUCUCCCACAUGGCAGGCAGAUUAUUUACUGUCUGAGCCACCAUAACUAAUGAGAACCUACUGUAUAGCACAGAGAACUCUACUCAAUGCUCUGUGGUGACCUAAUUGGGAAGGAAAUCCAAGGAAGAGAGGCUAUACAUAUACAUGUGACUAUUCACUUUGCUGUAUAGAAGAAACUAACACAACAUUUGAAAGCAACUCUAAUCCAGUUAGGGGCUUCCCUGGUAGCUCAGCUAGUAAAGAAUCUGCCUGCAAAGCGGGAGACCCUGGUUUGAUUCCUGGGUUGGGAAGACGCCCUGGAGAAGGGACAGGCUUUACCCACUCCAGUAUUCUUGGGCUUCCCUGGUGACUCAGCUAGUAAAGAAUCUGCCUGCAAAGCGGGAGACCCUGGUUUGAUUCCUGGGUUGGGAAGACGCCCUGGAGAAGGGACAGGCUUUACCCACUCCAGUAUUCUUGGGCUUCCCUGGUGGCUCAGCUGGUAAAGAAUCCACCUGCAGUGCAGGAGACCUGGGUUUGAUCCCUGGGUUGGGACGAUCUCCUGGAGGAGGUCAUGAGUCAGACACGACUGAGUGACUAAGCAUAGCACAGUCAUCGGGCAUAAGAGAUCAGAAAUAAAGAAGAAGUCUAUGAUGACUCCUAGGUAUUU
ensembl:lncRNA